UGGCGUCCGGGUGAGUAACACGUAGGUGACCUGCCCCGAAGUGGGGGACAACCACUGGAAACGGUGGCUAAUACCGCAUGGGGUGCGGCAUUCGUUUGCCGCAUUAAAGGUGGGGGGCAACCUCUGUCGCUUCGGGAGGGGCCUGCGGCCGAUUAGCUAGUUGGUGGGGUAAAGGCUCACCAAGGCGACGAUCGGUAGCUGGUCUGAGAGGGCGAUCAGCCACACUGGCACUGACAGACGGGCCAGACUCUUACGGGAGGCAGCAAGGAGGAAUAUUGCGCAAUGGGCGAAAGCCUGACGCAGCAACGCCGCGUGGGUGAUGAAGGCCUUCGGGUCGUAAAGCCCUUUUCUGGGGGAAGAGGAAGGACGGUACCUCAGGAAUAAGCCUCGGCGAACUACGUGCCAGCAGCCGCGGUAAAACGUAGGAGGCGAGCGUUAUCCGGAUUUAUUGGGCGUAAAGGGCGUUUAGGCGGUGCUCUAAGUUGGGCGUGAAAUCCUCCGGCUUAACUGGAGGGGGUCGUCCAAUACUGGAGCACUUGAGGGCAGGAGAGGAAGGUGGAAUUCCCGGUGUAGCGGUAAAAUGCGUAGAUAUCGGGAGGAACACCAGUGGCGAAAGCGGCCUUCUGGCCUGACCCUGACGCUGAAGCGCGAAAGCGUGGGGAGCGAACGGGAUUAGAUACCCCGGUAGUCCACGCCCUAAACGAUGGAUACUGGGUGUUGGUGGCGUUGACCCCAUCAGUACCGAAGCUAACGCGUUAAGUAUCCCGCCUGGGGACUACGGCCGCAAGGUUAAAACUCAAAGGAAUUGACGGGGGCCCGCACAAGCAGCGGAGCGUGUGGUUCAAUUCG
rnacentral:rRNA from 1 species